CGAACGAUGAUCCGGUGCUUGCAUCGGGGAUUAGUGGCGAACGGGUGAGUAACACGUGAGUAACCUGCCCUUGACUCUGGGAUAAGCCUGGGAAACUGGGUCUAAUACCGGAUAUGACCUUCCAUCGCAUGGUGGUUGGUGGAAAGCUUUUGUGGUUUUGGAUGGACUCGCGGCCUAUCAGCUUGUUGGUGGGGUAAUGGCCUACCAAGGCGACGACGGGUAGCCGGCCUGAGAGGGUGACCGGCCACACUGGGACUGAGACACGGCCCAGACUCCUACGGGAGGCAGCAGUGGGGAAUAUUGCACAAUGGGCGCAAGCCUGAUGCAGCGACGCCGCGUGAGGGAUGACGGCCUUCGGGUUGUAAACCUCUUUCAGUAGGGAAGAAGCCGUAAGGUGACGGUACCUGCAGAAGAAGCGCCGGCUAACUACGUGCCAGCAGCCGCGGUAAUACGUAGGGCGCAAGCGUUAUCCGGAAUUAUUGGGCGUAAAGAGCUCGUAGGCGGUUUGUCGCGUCUGCCGUGAAAGUCCGGGGCUCAACUCCGGAUCUGCGGUGGGUACGGGCAGACUAGAGUGAUGUAGGGGAGACUGGAAUUCCUGGUGUAGCGGUGAAAUGCGCAGAUAUCAGGAGGAACACCGAUGGCGAAGGCAGGUCUCUGGGCAUUAACUGACGCUGAGGAGCGAAAGCAUGGGGAGCGAACAGGAUUAGAUACCCUGGUAGUCCAUGCCGUAAACGUUGGGCACUAGGUGUGGGGGACAUUCCACGUUUUCCGCGCCGUAGCUAACGCAUUAAGUGCCCCGCCUGGGGAGUAC
rnacentral:rRNA from 1 species